AUUGCCUGGGCUUCUGUUUGAGGAAAUUAUUUCUUACCUGUUUUAAACAGCUCUCUGAGAUUUCUGAUCUUUGUUUGGACUUUGGCUAUAUUGUUCUUUCUAACCUGCUGGCCUCCUGACUUCUCAAUCUGUGCCUUUCUCUGAGCAUUGUUAAAUCAAGUCAAGUCAACCAGAAUUUAUUAAGCUGUUACUACAAUAUGCCAGGAUCUAUAUGUAGGGGAACUAUUGGCACCAGUGUAGUAGGAGAGGACUCCAAUAAUUGGGAAGAGGAUUUAUAGAUUGAUACUAUCCCCAUGCAAGCCAUCAUCACCUUGCACCUGGACUAUGAUUGCAGUUGUCUUCUGGUUGGUCUCCCUGCUUCAAGUCUCUCCUGACUCCAGUCCACUCUCCACGUCAAAUUGAUCCUUCUUUCUAAAGAUCAGAACAACCUGGAAGAGGAGAAUUUUUCAGUCAAGGCAGAAGAUAGAAGAAACACAGCUGCUCAUAACUUCUAUGAAGCUAGGGCAGCCUGGGAAUGAGGAGUUGAAAAAUUCUUCUCUGCCUCCCUAAAUGUCUUUACAUGUUUCAGCACAAUUGUUACUCAUUAGUUAGGAUCCUAUUUACAUUUUAUCAUCUAUUUGUUCAUUUUCAAGUGAGGUAUAUUGCUUUGAUUAAAGCCAACAGUGAU